rnacentral:tRNA from 1 species
GCCCCUGUGGUGGAACUGGUAGACACCGCGGCCUUAAAAGCCGCUGCCGCAAGGCGUACGGGUUCGAGCCCCGUCGGGGGCA